rnacentral:rRNA from 1 species
AGAACGAACGCUGGCGGCAUGCCUAACACAUGCAAGUCGAACGCGUGACUUCGGUCACGAGUGGCGCACGGGUGAGUAGCGCGUGGGAACCUGCCUUUGGGUUCGGGAUAACCGCGAGAAACUGCGGCUAAUACCGGAUGUCCCCUACGGGGGAAAGAUUUAUCGCCCGAAGAGGGGCCCGCGUCCGAUUAGGUAGUUGGUGAGGUAACGGCUCACCAAGCCUUCGAUCGGUAGCUGGUCUGAGAGGAUGAUCAGCCACACUGGGACUGAGACACGGCCCAGACUCCUACGGGAGGCAGCAGUGGGGAAUAUUGGACAAUGGGGGCAACCCUGAUCCAGCAAUGCCGCGUGAGUGAUGAAGGUCUUCGGGUUGUAAAGCUCUUUCGCCCACGACGAUGGUGACGGUAGUGGGAGAAGAAGCCCCGGCUAACUUCGUGCCAGCAGCCGC